GCUUAACACAUGCAAGUCGAGCGAGAAUCGUUUAUUGAAGGCUUCGGCUGGAAAUAGAUGAGGAAAGCGGCGAACGGGUGAGUAACGCGUGGGCAACCUGGCCUUAAGAAAAGGAUAGCCCCCGGAAACGGGGAGUAAUACUUUAUGAGAAUGAGAGAGGGCAUCCUACUUUCAUUCAAAGCGCAAGCGCUUAAGGAUGGGCCCGCGUAUCAUUAGCUAGUUGGUGAGAUAACAGCCCACCAAGGCAACGAUGAUUAGCCGGUCUGAGAGGGCGAACGGCCACAUUGGAACUGAGAGACGGUCCAAACUCCUACGGGAGGCAGCAGUGGGGAAUAUUGCGCAAUGGAGAAGAACUCUGACGCAGCAAUACCGCGUGAGCGAAGAAGGUCUUCGGAUCGUAAAGCUCUGUUAUCAGGGAAGAAGAAAAUGACGGUACCUGAUGAGCAAGUCCCGGCUAACUACGUGCCAGCCGCCGCAGUAAAAC
rnacentral:rRNA from 1 species